GUCAUGCCCAUAGUUUGAGGUGUGUAAUGAAAAUUUAGCCAAGUUAAAGGAGCCGCGAAUCGGGCCUUGUAAACACUACAUGCAUGUUACAUACAAACCCGUGAGAGAUGUAAAUGAAUUAACCUAAGAAAGGAAACCAAAAGAAUAAGAUGAUAUAAAUGUCCAAAGGAAUAGUAUCAGUUCCUUAGGCCAACCCCGAAGUGAAACCUCCCGGUCCGCUGGUCAUUGAAGGCAUACUCUAAUCUUAGAGGUCCCAGUGGCGACUCUACGCGAAUACCAACCCCACAUCCAUAUCCACUUCCAGGUUUUAGCCUUGCUCCAGCAGGAUCACCAGGAACACUUGGACCAGAUCCAAGGUCUGUGCCAUAAUCAGCAAAUACAGCCCCUUCUAGUGGCCCCAUCAGAGGGAAGGAAAUUUCUCCACAGCCAACUGCAUAAGACCGGCCAGAGCCAACUGUGCCUUCUUCAUAUCCUCUUACACUAUUGGUUCCACCAAGCACAAAUGCUUCAUGAGGCGGAAAAUUACCGACCACAUGACCACCAGAGAAGCUUAGGAGAAGACGCAUAGGACCUAAUACCAAUCCUUUUCUAGCACGAGCAUUGACUCUGUUAAAAACUAGCCACUCUGACCACACAGGAAGUCCCUGAUCCAUGUUGAAAACAAACACUGAAGAACCAGGGUCGCCAGAACCAGUAUAGACAGUCUCAAGUUUGGCAAGUAGCAUAUCAUCAUGAGUGUUGCCACUUGCAGUAAGUGGACUACUGUAGUAGUCCCUUAUAAUAGGAUUCCCCUUGUCAUCCCGAGCACCAGCCCGCUGAAAUAUGAUUCCGGCUGUCCCAUUCCACUUUGGCCUGAAUGGCCGACUGUAUUCAAUCCCGGCCGUCACACGUCCAAUCGUCAGGCUACCACCGGGGUGAUUAUGAACAAGUGUGCCAGGCGUCCUCGAAUUCUGUAUCAUAAUUGACCUGGAAGUCCUCUUAUCAUCUCCUUCAAUCCAUGGAUCUGUAUAAUUUAUCCGAAAGAUAGAGUCAAUUUGCCCCCGCUCUAGUGACAAAUUCAGCUUUUGAUUUCUCCCGAAAAGAUUCUUGUGGUAUAUCGCACAACUGCCAAUCAAUCCAGCAAGGGGUCCACCUGUGAUCCCACUAGAAAUUCCACCACCGGCAGAAAUACCACCCCCGCUCUUGCGCUCGACAACAUUCAUAACUAAGUCUACC
rnacentral:misc_RNA from 1 species